rnacentral:sRNA from 1 species
GGCGGCUAUGAGCUCCAGGGUAGCCCUGCCCGAGUAUGUCAAUCCAACCUGGCUUGGUCUGGCACGGAGCCCACCUGUGCAGCCAUGAACGUCAAUGUGGGCGUCAGAACGGCAGCUGCACUUCUGGAUCAGUUUUAUGAGAAAAGGAGACUCCUCAUUGUGUCCACACCCACAGCCCGAAACCUCCUUUACCGGCUCCAGCUAGGAAUGCUGCAGGCUGUUGCUGCGAAUCCCACUCUACUCCUUCAGUAUGGUGCUAGUGGAUAAGCAUGGCAUGGACAAAGAGCGCUAUGUCUCCCUGGUGAUGCCUGUGGCCCUGUUCAACCUGAUUGACACUUUUCCCUUGAGAAAAGAAGAGAUGGUCCUACAAGCCGAAAUGGGCCAGACCUGUAACACCUGACAUGAUGGUUCCUCUCUUGGCAGUUCCUCUUCAUUGUCUACAUAGUGACGUGCACACGGCAAAGCCUUAAAAAUAUCCUUGAUGUACAGAUUUUUAUUUGUAAUUUUAAAAGUCUAUUUUAUUAUGAGCUUUCUUUGCACUUAAAAAUUAGCAUGCUGCUUUUUGUACUUGGAAGUGUUUCGAAAAAUUAUAUGACUAUAUUUACUCUUUCUAACUUUCUUUUUACUCCAUCAUGGCCGGUUGAUUUUGUAGAGAAAUUAGAACCCAUAACCAUACACGGGCUAUCAACAUGUUAUUCAAUGUGACACCUAACUCUUUUCUAUUUUGUUUUUUAAAUAAGACUUUUAUUAAUAAAAUG